GACGAACGCUGGCGGCGUGCUUAACACAUGCAAGUCACGGGGGCCCGCAAGGGCAACCGGCGAACGGGUGCGUAACACGUGAACAACCUGCCCUCGUGUGGGGGAUAGCCGGGCUAACGCCCGGGUAAUACCGCAUACGUUCCCUUGGAGGAGUCUCUGGGGGAGAAAGCUCCGGCGCACGGGGAGGGGUUCNCGGCCCAUCAGCUAGUUGGCGGGGUAAUGGCCCACCAAGGCGACGACGGGUAGCUGGUCUGAGAGGAUGGCCAGCCACAUUGGGACUGAGAGACGGCCCAGACUCCUACGGGAGGCAGCAGU
rnacentral:rRNA from 1 species